rfam:Haemophilus parasuis SH0165, complete genome.
ACAUUUAAGUCGGGGUGCUGCCAAAAGCGGCUGAGAAAUACCCGUGAACCUGAUACAGUUAAUACUGGCGUAGGAAACUUAUGAAUAUCAUCU